rfam:Schistosoma mansoni, Puerto Rico, WGS project CABG01000000 data, contig: 0076
CUGGUGCUGAGGAGUCCCAUAAUAGGACGAAACGGCCGUCCAG